AGUUGCUGGUUUCCCAAAGAAAUUCCCCCAUUCUCACUUUGAGCUGAGAAGCGAUUCAAGCAAACGUAAAAUUCAUUUCUGAAGAAGGGAUUCACGCAAGCCCCCAACUUACGCUUACUCUCUUCUCUUCUUUCGCUUCGCUUAUUCCAUUGUGUUCCCUCUCUCUUUGUCACCCUUUUAAUAUCCAAUUUCAUCGAUAA
rnacentral:lncRNA from 1 species